rnacentral:rRNA from 1 species
UACGAAGGGGGCUAGCGUUGCUCGGAAUUACUGGGCGUAAAGCGCACGUAGGCGGCUUUCUAAGUCGGGGGUGAAAUCCUGGAGCUCAACUCCAGAACUGCCUUCGAUACUGGAGAGCUCGAGUCCGGGAGAGGUGAGUGGAACUGCGAAUGUAGAGGUGAAAUUCGUAGAUAUUCGCAAGAACACCAGUGGCGAAGGCGGCUCACUGGCCCGGUACUGACGCUGAGGUGCGAAAGCGUGGGGAGCAAACAGG